rnacentral:rRNA from 1 species
UAGUACGAGAGGACCGGAGUGGACGCAUCACUGGUGUUCGGGUUGUCAUGCCAAUGGCACUGCCCGGUAGCUAAAUGCGGAAGAGAUAAGUGCUGAAAGCAUCUAAGCACGAAACUUGCCCCGAGAUGAGUUCUCCCUGACUCCUUGAGAGUCCUGAAGGAACGUUGAAGACGACGACGUUGAUAGGCCGGGUGUGUAAGCGCAGCGAUGCGUUGAGCUAACCGGUACUAAUGAACCGUGAGGCUUAACCUUACAACGCCGAAG